GUAUCUUGUGGGCCUCAAGGAGGCCGAAACCGCACCCUAGAGGAGGGUUAGGCUCAGAGGUAGCCAUCAGGGUGCAGGGCAGCUUCCAACCAUGUGCUGGUGACUCCAGGGUUUUUUUGGCCCCUGGAAGGAAAGGUGGGGAUGCAAGUGGUGGAGAACACGAGCUUGGGGCCUCUCACUGAUCUUCCGUGGUGUCGUGGUUCUCUCAUGCCAGCCCCUCCCCCCCGAAAAAGGAUCCAAAGCAUUUGUCUACACUGCUGUUUGCCAGCCUCUGAAGAAGGCAGUUCCUGUGUACAAUUCAUAGUCUUUAACCUGAGAUCUAAGUUUGUGCUAAGUACGUGGUGGUAACACCAGUACCUUGACAGCGUCACCCGAGGCCUCUCGCAGCAGCUAACUCUUGAACCACUUCAGAGUCGCUGAGUUCAUCCUAGCUCAGUGUUGGCUGAGAAGGACACUGCUCCAAAUCACCAAGCCCUGCUCCUCUCCUGAAGGCGUCUUCGGGACCACAGUGGGUCUUUCUCCUGGGACCGGUGGCCGUGUGUUCGAGGAAAGCUCACAGAGGCCCUGAAGGGGUGACCGUGUGAGGCAAAUGAAAUGAUAAUAAACAGGAAACAUGUCUGCUCUUGGAAAGCUCACACGCGGACAUGGACCACGGUGGAGCCAGUGAAGCGGUGAACUCACUGCUGCACACGCAUGCACACGCACACACGCACACACCCUCUGCCCCUCCCUCACCCAGUCUCCAUCACCAGCGGGCAUGCUCUGACCUGGCUGCCUUCUCCCUGCACAGCCACCUUCUACCCCAUCAGAAUGUCUUCAUGCUGCGUACUGUGACAUCCUCUCCGCUCUCAGCCAUGCCGAGUGAAAUGUUAUGCUUUGGAUCUAAGGUGUCCCCCGAGUGUCGUGUGUUUAGGGAUCACCACAGGGGUGCUAUAUUUACCAGUGAAUUCACCCACGAAUGCAUUCGGUAGCUGAAUUGCUGCUAGGAGGUGGUCACAGGGGUGAUCUGCAAGGGAAUAUUCUUGUCCCCAGCGCCUCCCUCCUCUUUCUGCUUCCUGGCUGCCACGGAGUGACAGUGUUCUCUGGCCAUGCCCUCCUACCGUGUCCUUUCUGCCUGGAAGGCAGAUGACCACCAACUGAAUCUUCUGAAACCGUGAGCCAAGGUAAAAGGAGAGUUUAUACAUUAUUAAGGAGCUCUGCGACACAUCUACCCAGCCUAAGUCUCCUAGGAGAAAGGAGUCCUCUCCUCAGGUUCUUGGAAACUCCCUCCGGAGAGCCUCAAGGGUCCCCCAAGCUCCAGUUACAGUCACGAUCCUGUGCUAAUAUCAUCACGUAUUUGGACUGAGUCUGCAUUAAACUGAGAGCUCCUGGAGAGCAGGAACUGUGUGGUGUCAUCACAGUAUCUUCAGAACCCAUUGUGGAACUCAGCAGAUCCUUCAACAGUAGAGAAGUGGGAUGAUUGGAUGAUUAGGUGCAUGGAUGGAUGGAUGGAUGGAUGAAGUUCUGACACAGCGUGGGAGGAUGCAGAAAAGCAUACCAUGAGGCACCAAAGAGCCGAGAUGCCAUUCUUUGGUUUUUUUCCCAUAGGGCAGCUCUGCACAUCUUUAGUUGCCCUUCAUUUGUGGAGUGGAACUUGGGGCCUAGCCUUUUUUCCAGCUGGAUGAAUAUCCCAUCACACCCCACAUACUCUUCAGCUUCCUCUAAAAUAGCUUCUCCAACUGAUACCUGGCUACCAAGGUGACUGAUUCUUCCCAGUUUGGGACUGUUCCUGUUUUAAAAUUGAGAGUCCAGUGUCCUAGGAACACCCUCGGUCCAGGGCAAACCGGGACAGGUGGCCAGUCUCCUCUCUAUACUGUUGAGGAUAAGGUCAACACGUCCCGGCUACCCACGAGCUGGGAGAGGGUACAUGACUGAGUCCAUCCAGUUUGCCUUCACUGGACGUGACACAUGAGCUGCUGAGGAGAGUCCUCAAAGCAAGGGCAAUGUGUUUCUGCCCUCUGGACUGGACAUCGCAGCCAUGAGUAGACAUCUCAUGAUA
rnacentral:lncRNA from 1 species